rnacentral:rRNA from 1 species
UACGUAGGGGGCGAGCGUUAUCCGGAAUUAUUGGGCGUAAAGAGUGCGUAGGUGGUCUUGUAAGCGUGGGGUGAAAGGCAGUGGCUUAACCAUUGUAAGCCCUGCGAACUGUGAGACUUGAGUGCAGGAGAGGAAAGCGGAAUUCCUAGUGUAGCGGUGAAAUGCGUAGAUAUUAGGAGGAACACCAGUGGCGAAGGCGGCUUUCUGGACUGUAACUGACACUGAGGCACGAAAGCGUGGGGAGCAAACAGGAUUAGAUACCCUGGUAGUCCACGCCGUAAACGAUGAGCACUAGGUGUCGGGGUCGCAAGACUUCGGUGCCGCAGUUAACGCAUUAAGUGCUCCGCCUGGGGAGUACGCACGCAAGUGUGAA